rnacentral:rRNA from 1 species
UACGUAGGGGGCAAGCGUUGUCCGGAUUUAUUGGGCGUAAAGAGCGUGUAGGCGGCCAUACAGGUCAGCUGUGAAAACUCGAGGCUCAACCUCGAGACGUCGGUUGAAACCGUAUGGCUAGAGUCCGGAAGAGGAGAGUGGAAUUCCCGGUGUAGCGGUGAAAUGCGCAGAUAUCGGGGAAGAACACCAACGGCGAAAGCACUCUGCUGGGCCGACACUGACACUGAGAGACGAAAGCUAGGGGAGCGAAUGGG